rnacentral:rRNA from 1 species
UUCGCCCUUAGAGUUUGAUCCUGGCUCAGGACGAACGCUGGCGGCGCGCCUAACACAUGCAAGUCGAACGAGCGAGAGAGAGCUUGCUUUCUCGAGCGAGUGGCGAACGGGUGAGUAACGCGUGAGGAACCUGCCUCAAAGAGGGGGACAACAGUUGGAGACGACUGCUAAUACCGCAUAAGCCCACAGCUCGGCAUCGAGCAGAGGGAAAAGGAGCAAUCCGCUUUGAGAUGGCCUCGCGUCCGAUUAGCUAGUUGGUGAGGUAAUGGCCCACCAAGGCAACGAUCGGUAGCCGGACUGAGAGGUUGAACGGCCACAUUGGGACUGAGACACGGCCCAGACUCCUACGGGAGGCAGCAGUGGGGAAUAUUGCACAAUGGGGGAAACCCUGAUGCAGCGACGCCGCGUGGAGGAAGAAGGUCUUCGGAUUGUAAACUCCUGUUGUUGAGGAAGAUAAUGACGGUACUCAACAAGGAAGUGACGGCUAACUACGUGCCAGCAGCCGCGGUAAAACGUAGGUCACAAGCGUUGUCCGGAAUUACUGGGUGUAAAGGGAGCGCAGGCGGGAAGACAAGUUGGAAGUGAAAUCUAUGGGCUCAACCCAUAAACUGCUUUCAAAACUGUUUUUCUUGAGUAGUGCAGAGGUAGGCGGAAUUCCCGGUGUAGCGGCGGAAUGCGUAGAUAUCGGGAGGAACACCAGUGGCGAAGGCGGCCUACUGGGCACCAACUGACGCUGAGGCUCGAAAGUGUGGGUAGCAAACAGGAUUAGAUACCCUGGUAGUCCGCACCGUAAACGAUGAUUACUAGGUGUUGGAGGAUUGACCCCUUCAGUGCCGCAGUUAACACAAUAAGUAAUCCACCUGGGGAGUACGACCGCAAGGUUGAAACUCAAAGGAAUUGACGGGGGCCCGCACAAGCAGUGGAGUAUGUGGUUUAAUUCGACGCAACGCGAAGAACCUUACCAAGUCUUGACAUCCUGCGACGAUGCUGGAAACAGUAUUUUCCUUCGGGACGCAGAGACAGGUGGUGCAUGGUUGUCGUCAGCUCGUGUCGUGAGAUGUUGGGUUAAGUCCCGCAACGAGCGCAACCCUUACUGUCAGUUACUACGCAGGAGGACUCUGGCAGGACUGCCGUUGACAAAACGGAGGAAGGUGGGGAUGACGUCAAAUCAUCAUGCCCUUUAUGACUUGGGCUACACACGUACUACAAUGGCGUUAAACAAAGAGAAGCAAGACCGCGAGGUGGAGCAAAACUCAGAAACAACGUCCCAGUUCGGACUGCAGGCUGCAACUCGCCUGCACGAAGUCGGAAUUGCUAGUAAUCGUGGAUCAGCAUGCCACGGUGAAUACGUUCCCGGGCCUUGCACACACCGCCCGUCA